AUGGUCUCAUCACGGGAACUACCGUCAUCGUCAAACCCUGAUAGUCCAGCGUUUGUCCCCACUGGCAUGCUCAACUCAGACAGUGCUGAUGUUGUUUUAUAUUCUCUACGUCAGAAGUACCGAGACACUGACAAGUUGAUAGUUCCCAGAUGGGUGACGACCAAGAUCCGUGAUGGAAAUAUUGAUUCCAACGUGCUAAAUUGGUUCACGAGAUCAGAGAGCCCUACUACACCCAAGAAUCCCAUUGUGGAAUUGAUAGACAUCGAUGAUGAUGUGUUUGACAAGAUUGCUGGCGUUGGAAGAGUCACGAGGAGUGCUGCUGCCAAAGCUUUAUCUCCCCUUGCUGUAAUAGUGGAUCGUAGAGCUGGUGGUGCUAGGAAAGAUCCUACUUUGGAUUCUGGCAAUGUUGUAAGCACAAAGCGUGCUCCUAGAGCUCCUAUAAAGUUUUGCUCCCCUAUGUAG
rnacentral:rRNA from 1 species